GGUGGUAUGGUCUAGUGGUAUGACGUCGCGUUGUGGCUGGCGGUUCAAUUAUGAACCCGAUCCAGAUCCGCGCCAGCCUGGGUUCGAGUACGUUAUAUCA